UACGUAGGGGGCAAGCGUUAUCCGGAUUUACUGGGUGUAAAGGGAGCGUAGACGGCCAGACAAGUCUGAAGUGAAGAUCCAGCGCUUAACGUUGGAAGUGCUUUGGAAACUGCCGGGCUAGAGUGCAGGAGGGGCAGGCGGAAUUCCUAGUGUAGCGGUGAAAUGCGUAGAUAUUAGGAGGAACACCAGUGGCGAAGGCGGCCUGCUGGACUGCAACUGACGUUGAGGCUCGAAGGCGUGGGGAGCAAACAGG
rnacentral:rRNA from 1 species